rnacentral:lncRNA from 1 species
ACGGCCCGCCCCGGCGCGCUCAUUGGCCGGACGGCGCAGGAACUGCCGCGCCAUUGGCCGCCGUCUAGGUCGCUAGGCGCUGCGGCCACGCGAACCCAGCGUGGGAGACGAGGAGCCGGUUCAAACCGGUGGCGCGAGCCAGCCGCGCGACCCCCAUCUCGGGCGUUCCCCCGGCAACUCGCCCGUUUCCAUGAGCUCACCCGGCUCCUCCGGCGUGUGUCGGGCCCGCCCGGCGCCUUUUCUGCCCUCUUUUAUUCCAGCCCUUUUAUUCCGACCCCAAGAAGAAAACACUGCCGCCCGCUGAUUGGCUGAGCGGGGCUGGAAACAGGCGUCGACCAAUCAGCAGCCAGCCCCCCGCCCGCCCCGCCGCGAGCAGAAGCCGGUUCCGGCCGGACUCGGAGACAAACAAGAGA